GAUGAACGCUGGCGGCGUGCCUAAUACAUGCAAGUCGAGCGAACAGAUAAGGAGCUUGCUCCUUUGAAGUUAGCGGCGGACGGGUGAGUAACACGUGGGUAACCUACCUAUAAGACUGGGAUAACUUCGGGAAACCGGAGCUAAUACCGGAUAACAUUUAGAACCGCAUGGUUCUAAAGUGAAAGAUGGCUUUGCUAUCACUUAUAGAUGGACCCGCGCCGUAUUAGCUAGUUGGUAAGGUAACGGCUUACCAAGGCGACGAUACGUAGCCGACCUGAGAGGGUGAUCGGCCACACUGGAACUGAGACACGGUCCAGACUCCUACGGGAGGCAGCAGUAGGGAAUCUUCCGCAAUGGGCGAAAGCCUGACGGAGCAACGCCGCGUGAGUGAUGAAGGGUUUCGGCUCGUAAAACUCUGUUAUUAGGGAAGAACAAAUGUGUAAGUAACUGUGCACAUCUUGACAGUACCUAAUCAGAAAGCCACGGCUAACUACGUG
rnacentral:rRNA from 1 species